GAUGAACGCUGGCGGCGUGCUUAACACAUGCAAGUCGAGCGAAGCGCUUAAGUUUGAUUCUUCGGAUGAAGACUUUUGUGACUGAGCGGCGGACGGGUGAGUAACGCGUGGGUAACCUGCCUCAUACAGGGGGAUAACAGUUAGAAAUGACUGCUAAUACCGCAUAAGACCACGGUACCGCAUGGUACAGUGGUAAAAACUCCGGUGGUAUGAGAUGGACCCGCGUCUGAUUAGGUAGUUGGUGGGGUAACGGCCUACCAAGCCGACGAUCAGUAGCCGACCUGAGAGGGUGACCGGCCACAUUGGGACUGAGACACGGCCCAGACUCCUACGGGAGGCAGCAGUGGGGAAUAUUGCACAAUGGAGGAAACUCUGAUGCAGCGACGCCGCGUGAAGGAUGAAGUAUUUCGGUAUGUAAACUUCUAUCAGCAGGGAAGAAA
rnacentral:rRNA from 1 species